rnacentral:pre_miRNA from 1 species
AAGCUCCUGGGAUUCUGGGAUCCCGGGAUCCUGGGAUCCCAGGUUCCUGGGAUCCCGGGUUCCUGGGAUCCCGGGUUCCUGGGUAUGC